AUUGAACGCUGGCGGCCGGCUUAACACAUGCACGUCGAGCGAGUGGCUGACAUGUUAGUAAUGUCUGGGAAACUUCCUGAUGGAGGGGGAUAACUCCUGGAAACGGUAGCUAAUACCUCAUCCCCUCAGAUGUUCCCCGAUGGGAGUAGAUAGAAGGUGGGGUAAUGGCGCACCUAGGCGACUAUCCCUAGCGGGUCUGAGAGGAUGACCAGACACACUGGAACUGAGACACGGGACAGAGUCCUACGGGAGGCAGCAGUGGGGAAUAUUGCACAAGGGGAGCAAGCCUGAUGCAGCCAUGCCGCGUGUGUGAAGAAGGCCUUCGGGUUGUAAAGCACUUUCAGCGAGGAGGCGUUACUCGCAGAAGAAGCACCGGCUAACUCCGUGCCAGCAGCCGCGGGAAUAC
rnacentral:rRNA from 1 species